AGGACGAACGCUGGCGGCGUGCUUAACACAUGCAAGUCGGACGAGACCCUUCCUUCGGGGGGUGUUCUAGUGGCGAACGGGUGAGUAACACGUGGGCAACCUGCCCCGGCUCUGGGAUAACUCCAAGAAAUUGGGGCUAAUACCGGAUAUGACUGCUGACCGCAUGGUCUGGUGGUGGAAAGAUUUAUCGGCUGGGGAUGGGCCCGCGGCCUAUCAGCUUGUUGGUGGGUAGUGGCCUACCAAGGCGACGACGGGUA
rnacentral:rRNA from 1 species